rnacentral:rRNA from 1 species
AUGCUGAUACAUAAGUUCUGGUGGGGAGGCAAGGAUGGCCAUCGCAAGCCUAACUGGGUCUCAUGGGACACUAUGACACAACCAAAGUAUAUUGGAGGUCUAGGCUUCAAGGACUUUAAGUUAUUUAAUCUGGCUCUACUAGCAAAACAAUCAUGGCGCAUUCUCCAAACAUCGGAAUCAUUAAGUGCAAGGAUUUUGAAGGUUGUUUAUUUUCCUACUGGAACAAUCUUGAAUGCUGAACUAGGUAAUCACCCAAGUCAGAUCUGGAGAGCAAUUGUGGAGGGGCGUGAUAUACUAAAAUAG